GCUAGUAAUCGUAGAUCAGAAUGCUACGGUGAAUACGUUCCCGGGCCUUGUACACACCGCCCGUCACACCAUGGGAGUGGGUUGCAAAAGAAGUAGGUAGCUUAACCUUCGGGAGGGCGCUUACCACUUUGUGAUUCAUGACUGGGGUGAAGUCGUAACAAGGUAACCGUAGGGGAACCUGCGGUUGGAUCACCUCCUUACCUUAAAGAA
rnacentral:rRNA from 2 species